CUUCUACAGGUACUUCCAGAACCCUCCCCUGCCUAAGUUCCAGCAGGUCAAAAUUCCUAAUUCCAAUCCAAACAGGACAAUCCUUGGAGAUCAGGCACUUAGGCCCCUAGAAGGCCUUAGAGCUCACAAUCUUCAUGAUGGAUAUAAUUUGAAGUGUCUUUUCACCUAGAUCACAGUGAGUGGAGCGCACUGCCCAUGGCAAUUUCCUGUCCACUGAGUGGUGUUGAGAGUGAGCACAUCAAAGGGAACAGAGAUCAGGUCAGCGUUGCCAGGGGCAACGUUAGCCCAGACAUACAGGGAACAUUGAGGAUGCCUAGGUGUCAGCUGUUCGACAUUCAAGCAGUGGCGCAGAAAGGGAGAAACUGA
rnacentral:lncRNA from 1 species